UGGGGAAUAUUGCGCAAUGGGCGAAAGCCUGACGCAGCCAUGCCGCGUGUGUGAAGAAGGCCUUAGGGUUGUAAAGCACUUUCAAUUGGGAAGAAAGGUUGUACGUUAAUAGCGUGCAGCUGUGACAUUACCUUUAGAAGAAGCACCGGCUAACUCCGUGCCAGCAGCCGCGGUAAUACGGAGGGUGCGAGCGUUAAUCGGAAUUACUGGGCGUAAAGCGCGCGUAGGCGGUUUGUUAAGUCGGAUGUGAAAGCCCUGGGCUCAACCUGGGAACUGCAUUCGAUACUGGCCAACUAGAGUGCGAGAGAGGGAGGUAGAAUUCCACGUGUAGCGGUGAAAUGCGUAGAUAUGUGGAGGAAUACCGGUGGCGAAGGCGGCCUCCUGGCUCGACACUGACGCUGAGGUGCGAAAGCGUGGGGAGCAAACA
rnacentral:rRNA from 1 species